rnacentral:misc_RNA from 1 species
CCGAGUUUACAACUCCCAAACCCCUGUGAACAUACCACUUGUUAGCCUCGGCGGAUCAGCCCGCUCCCGGUAAAACGGGACGGCCCGCCAGAGGACCCCCUAAACUCUGUUAUCUAGUAUGUAACUUCUGAGUAAAACCAUAAAUAAAUCA